CGUCUAUCUAUUUUCCAUUCUUGAAUAAUGGAAAAGAUCAUGGCCUAAUGAUUAUGUACAAAUUGAACCCCCUACAAGGACACUGAGGCUAACUAAAUUAGUGGGAGUAUUAUAAGCUCUAAGCAGCUACA